rnacentral:lncRNA from 1 species
AAGUACCUUUAAGAUUUUUUCGAUUUACUUCUCUACUUCACAUCUAAUUUUUUUUAAACCUUUCAAAGGCCUCAAAUUUGUAUCUCAUACGCAUACCCAUACCAUGACUAAUCAUCGGUAAAGGUAAUAAAGUAGAGAUAAUCUUUCUUGUCUGGCUCAUCAAAUAGGCCAUGCACAUCAAAUAUGUUGGAUGUAUGCCCUAGAAGCCAGAUUGAUUGACGCUUAUAAAAUUUUCUUAGAGCAUAAUUUGUAAAAUUGAUUUUUAUAUUAAUAAAAUUUAGAUUAUUAUCCAUUCACAUCUAGGUUUAUUG